CUCGUAGGCGGUUCGUCGCGUCCGGUGUGAAAGUCCAUCGCUUAACGGUGGAUCCGCGCCGGGUACGGGCGGGCUUGAGUGCGGUAGGGGGGACUGGAAUUCCCGGUGUAACGGUGGAAUGUGUAGAUAUCGGGAAGAACACUAAUGGCGAAGGCAGGUCUCUGGGCCGUCACUGACGCUGAGGAGCGAAAGCGUGGGGAGCGAACA
rnacentral:rRNA from 1 species